rnacentral:rRNA from 1 species
GAUGAACGCUGGCGGCGUGCCUAAUACAUGCAAGUCGAGCGAACAGACGAGGAGCUUGCUCCUCUGACGUUAGCGGCGGACGGGUGAGUAACACGUGGAUAACCUACCUAUAAGACUGGGAUAACUUCGGGAAACCGGAGCUAAUACCGGAUAAUAUAUUGAACCGCAUGGUUCAAUAGUGAAAGACGGUUUUGCUGUCACUUAUAGAUGGAUCCGCGCCGCAUUAGCUAGUUGGUAAGGUAACGGCUUACCAAGGCAACGAUGCGUAGCCGACCUGAGAGGGUGAUCGGCCACACUGGGACUUAGACACGGUCCAGACCCCUACGGGAGGCAGCAGUAGGGAAUCUUCCGCAAUGGGCGAAAGCCUUACGGAGCAACGCCGCGUGAGUUAAUAAGGUCUUCGGAUCGUAAAACUCUUUUAUUAGGGAAGAACAAAUGUGUAAGUAACUAUGCACGUCUUGACGGUACCUAAUCAGAAAGCCACGGCUAACUACGUG